GGUGUAAGGCGAACAUCGCUGCCUGGAAAGCAGAAGAUGCGGGUUCGAGUCCCGC
rnacentral:tRNA from 1 species